GUAAGCAGAAAGCCAGGGCACGGCAUGGGGAGCUGCGGGGCCAUCGGAUGGGCCCCAGUGUCUGAGCCCUGUCCUCUUGCAGG
rnacentral:pre_miRNA from 1 species